rnacentral:rRNA from 1 species
UACGGAGGGUGCGAGCGUUGUCCGGAAUCAUUGGGCGUAAAGGGCGCGUAGGUGGCCCGGUCAGUCAGUGGUGAAAGCGCGGGGCUCAACCCUGCGUCGGCCAUUGAUACUGCCGCGGCUGGAGCACUGUAGAGGCAGGCGGAAUUCCGGGUGUAGCGGUGGAAUGCGUAGAGAUCCGGAAGAACACCGGUGGCGAAGGCGGCCUGCUGGGCAGUUGCUGACACUGAGGCGCGACAGCGUGGGGAGCAAACAGG